rnacentral:rRNA from 1 species
CUGCUGUGCAGGAGUCUUAACACAUGCAGUCGGAGAGAAAGCCUGAAGCUUGCUUUGGGCGAGUAAAGUGGCGCACGGGUGAGUAACGCGUGGGUAAUCUACCUCCGAAUUUGGGAUAACACUUCGAAAGGGGUGCUAAUACCGGAUGAUAUCCAUUGGGCUUUGGUUUGAUGGAUCAAAGAUAGCCGCUUCAUGAAAGCUAUUGUUUGGAGAUGAGCCCGCGUCCCAUUAGCUGGUUGGUAGGGUAACGGCCUACCAAGGCGACGAUGGGUAGCUGGUCUGAGAGGAUGAUCAGCCACACUGGAACUGGAACACGGUCCAGACUCCUACGGGAGGCAGCAGUGAGGAAUUUUGCGCAAUGGGGGCAACCCUGACGCAGCAACGCCGCGUGAGUGAUGAAGGCCUUCGGGUCGUAAAGCUCUGUCAAGUGGGAAGAACCUGUUUAUUGUUAACAGCGAUAGACACUGACGGUACCACUGAAGGAAGCACCGGCUAACUCCGUGCCAGCAGCCGCGGUAAUACGGAGGGUGCAAGCGUUAUUCGGAUUUACUGGGCGUAAAGGGCGCGUAGGCGGUUGGACAAGUCAGGUGUGAAAUCCCGGGGCUUAACUCCGGAAGUGCAUCUGAAACUGUUCGGCUUGAGUAUGGUAGAGGGAAGUGGAAUUCCUGGUGUAGCGAUGAAAUGCGUAGAUAUCAGGAGGAACACCGGUGGCGAAGGCGACUUCCUGAACCAAAACUGACGCUGAGGCGCGAAGGUGUGGGGAGCAAACAGGAUUAGAUACCCUGGUAGUCCACACAGUAAACGGUGAUCACUAGGUGUUGCGGGUGUUGACCCCUGCAGUGCCGCAGUUAACGCAUUAAGUGAUCCGCCUGGGGAGUACGGUCGCAGAUU